rnacentral:rRNA from 1 species
CGGGUGGUAAGAAAUCGGCGCACGGGUGAGUAACGCGUGGGAAACUUACCUUGGGGUGGGGGAAUAACCGCUGGAAACGGCGGCUAAUACCGCAUACGCCCUGCGGGGGAAAGAUUUAUCGCCCUGGGAGAAGCCCGCGUUGGAUUAGCUUGUUGGUGGGGUAAAGGCCCACCAAGGCAACGAUCCAUAGCUGGUCUGAGAGGAUGAUCAGCCACACUGGGACUGAGACACGGCCCAGACUCCUACGGGAGGCAGCAGUGGGGAAUAUUGGACAAUGGGCGAGAGCCUGAUCCAGCCAUGCCGCGUGAGUGAAGAAGGCCUUAGGGUUGUAAAGCUCUUUCACCCGUGAAGAUGAUGACGGUAGCGGGAGAAGAAGCCCCGGCUUAACUCCGUGCCAGCAGCCGCGGUAAUACGGAGGGGGCUAGCGUUGUUCAGAAUUACUGGGCGUAAAGGGCGCGUAGGCGGCCUGUCAAGUUAGGGGUGAAAGGCCCGGGCUCAACCCGGGAACUGCCCUUGAAACUGGCAAGCUAGAGUCCGAGAGAGGAUGGCGGAAUUCCCAGUGUAGGGGUGAAAUUCGUAGAUAUUGGGAAGAACACCGGUGGCGAAGGCGGCCAUCUGGCUCGGUACUGACGCUGAGGCGCGAAAGCGUGGGGAGCAACAGGAUAGAUACCCUGGUAGUCACGCCGUAACGAUGUGUGCUAGACGU